UUACUUACCUGGACUGAGUCUAUAGGUGAUCAAUAAGACCUAUGGCUUAGGUUAGCAGACUUCAUUGCACUUUGUUGUUGUGUUAGCCUAAGGUCAACUCAUUGUAGUUGAACCUAAGUCAUAAUUUGUGGCAGUUGGGGCCUGCGUCCGCGCGGCCCCUUU